rnacentral:misc_RNA from 1 species
UCUCCGUUGGUGAACCAGCGGAGGGAUCAUUACUGGAAUCGCAAGAUCCCACAAACCCUGUGAACCUCCCGAAACGUUGCCUGGGCGGGUGACCGCGCCUGCGCCGGUCGGUGAGCGCGUCGGCGACACCCUACUCUUGUCCCCGCAGCGUCGCAUCUCAAAGUCCCAGAAAACAAGUAAAAACUUUCAACAACGGAUCUCUUGGCUCCG